UAUGCUUGUCUCAAAGAUUAAGCCAUGCAAGUGUCAGUUCAUGCCAAAAUAAGGUGAAACCGCGAAAGGCUCAUUAAAUCAGUUAUAGUUUACUUGAUGGCAUUACGUUACCGUUACUUGGAUAACUGUGGCAAUUCUAGAGCUAAUACAUGCACUCGAGUCCCGACCGAUUCACGCGGAAGGGAUGCUUUUAUUAGAUCAAAACCAAUCGGAAUGUCGUUCGUAUGAUCGAUGUGCCGUGCAGUCUUGGUGACUCUGGAUAAAUUGUCGCUGAUCGCAAGGUCUCAGCGCCUGCGACGCAUCAUUCAAAUGCCUGACUUAUCAACUAUCGACGGUAUGCCACGUGCCUACCGUGGUGGUAACGGGUAACGGGGAAUCAGGGUUCGAUUCCGGAGAGGGAGCCUGAGAAACAGCUACCACAUCCAAGGAAGGCAGCAGGCGCGCAAAUUACCCACUCCCGGCACGGGGAGGUAGUGACGAAAAAUAACGAUGCAGGACUCUAUAAUGAGGCUCUGCAAUCGGAAUGAGAAGACUCUAAAUCAUUUACCGAGUAUCCAUUGGAGGGCAAGUCUGGUGCCAGCAGCCGCGGUAAUUCCAGCUCCAAUAGCG
rnacentral:rRNA from 1 species